UACGAAGGGGGCUAGCGUUGUUCGGAAUCACUGGGCGUAAAGCGCACGUAGGCGGAUCUUUAAGUCAGAGGUGAAAUCCCAAGGCUCAACCUUGGAACUGCCUUUGAUACUGGGGAUCUUGAGUCCGGGAGAGGUGAGUGGAACUGCGAGUGUAGAGGUGAAAUUCGUAGAUAUUCGCAAGAACACCAGUGGCGAAGGCGGCUCACUGGCCCGGUACUGACGCUGAGGUGCGAAAGCGUGGGAGCAACAG
rnacentral:rRNA from 1 species